rnacentral:rRNA from 1 species
AACGAACGCUGGCGGCAGGCUUAACACAUGCAAGUCGAGCGCCCCGCAAGGGGAGCGGCAGACGGGUGAGUAACGCGUGGGAAUCUACCCUGAACUGCGGAAUAGCUCCGGGAAACUGGAAUUAAUACCGCAUGUGCCCUGAGGGGCAAAGAUUUAUCGGUUCAGGAUGAGCCCGCGUCCGAUUAGCUAGUUGGUGGGGUAAAGGCCUACCAAGGCGACGAUCGGUAGCUGGUCUAAGAGGAUGAUCAGCCACAUUGGGACUGAGACACGGCCCAAACUCCUACGGGAGGCAGCAGUGGGGAAUAUUGGACAAUGGGCGCAAGCCUGAUCCAGCCAUGCCGCGUGAGUGAUGAAGGCCCUAGGGUUGUAAAGCUCUUUCAGUGGGGACGAUAAUGACGGUACCCACAGAAGAAGCCCCGGCUAACUUCGUGCCAGCAGCCGCAGUAAAAC